UCCAACUCAAUCAAUUAUCUCCUCGCAACUAACCUCAAAGUCAUUCUUCCGCACCAUCGCAUACAACCUCGCCGCCGCUGUGAGCCUCCGGUCCGCCGCGCUUCACCGUUGCUCUUAGUCUUUUUUCCGGUCGCCGCCUCCCCUCUUCGAAGGCCGGUUGAGGUCACCCGACAAGUUAAACACUUCGAAGAGAACCAUUCCGUUCGAUUUCUCGCUUAAUUAGUCGGGCAGAGAAGCUUGAAGGUGAUCUAUCAAGGUCGCCGCCGUCGAUUGGAAUUUCAUAAUUUCCUCCGCACAUGGGAUUUUAAAAUUUAUAUACACUAACUAUGAACAUGGAAGUUACAUUGCGCAAAACAAGCUCAUCUUCAGCUAAUGAGGUAUACAGACAAAGAAAAAAUCUACAAAGACAAAAGAAACGUAAACGAAAUGCAAGUGAUUUGAAUUGUUCAUUGCUACAUGAAUUGAAAAAUGUGUCUGAUUGCAUUCAUUGUGGUGCAAGAAGAUUUGAAUAUGAACCUCCUACUUUUUGUUGUGAUAAUGGAAAAGUUAAACUUGCAUUUUCUGAAGUUCAUCCGGAGUUGGAUGAAUUGUUUACAGCCUAGUCAGAAGAAGCUAUUAAUUUCAGAAGGAAUAUUCGUGCUUAUAAUAGUAUAUUCUCAUUUACUUCGUUUGGUGUAAAAUUGGACAAACUAUACCAAAUGUAAUAACAAAUUAGCAAAUGACAAUAAACAAAGCUCAAUUGUAAUCAGUUUGCCAUCGGUGCUUCAUCCCAUAUAAUCAGUUUGCAAUGACAAUAAACAAAGCUCAAGGACAAACUAUACCAAAUGUUGGUGUAUAUAUAUUUGCCUUCUCCGGUAUUUUCUCACGGACAAUUAUAUGUUGCUCUAUCACGAGGAACUUCAAUGUCUACUACUAAAGUGUUGAUUAAGCCAAACACAACAGAUACAAGACAAAAAAUGUUGACGAAAAAUGUUGUCUACACUCAAGUUUUGAUCGCAGGACAACAAAAUCAUGAAGAAUCAGAAAGAUGCAAUUGAUGAUUCGCAUUGUGUUCAAGACACUCGGAUAUAUAAUAUUCAACAAUGACGACAAUCGAAACUCUGCAAGUAAAUGAAAGAUCAUUUACAAUUGCAUUGAAGGGCUUUGAGAAUAGGCCACGAAGUAAAUUGUGGACCUAAUUUAAGCACAAAAAUCUGGAAAUUGAUAAUGGUUGACAAAGAGGGUGUCCAAAUUGGAGUGACAAAAAAGAUAUCUUUAUGGGAAGAUAUGGCGAAAAAUGAAGGACAUGACCUUGAACAAAUAACUGGAGGCAAGCCAACUGUUGCAAUUUCCUAUGUCGUGGCAAAAAGGAAAUUUGGUCGUAUACUCUUGCAAAAUAUAAUGAGAUCCGUCUUGCAAAUUACACCAACAUGCAAAGAGAUCCAGCCAAUCCAAUCGUGUUCUGAUGUUGAUGAUGAUGCAUUAGCAAUUGCUAAAUUAGCAAUGACACAAAAAAUAAAACAAGCAAAGGAACUCACUCUUAAAGAUCUCAGAGACAAUCAACAUUUAUUAUCAGAGAUACAGAAUCACAAUAAAUGUUAUACAAGGCGACUGCAAUGCACGUAUUACACUAUUUGGUCAAGUGGCAGAGGUAUAUGUAGGAUGCUCUGUGGAUGAAUAUCUUUCUUCAAUCAAAGAGGGUGAAACAGAAUCCACAUACUAUAGACGACUAAGCACACAAGCGUACACAGAAAUGCGCUUCAUGACGAUGCUCAAGUCUAUAAAAUUUGAUCAACGAGGAAAUAUCAAUAUCGUAGCAAAUGCAAUCGAAAAAAUGGAACCAAUGGAAAGCAUCGAUGUUGGAGAUAUUGAAGAAGAGCCGACUGAAGUGGAGGAAAAGAAACAUUCACCCGAGAAAUCAAAAAAGAAAAUUCCGUCUAGAAAGAAAAAAUCUACGAUUGAGUUGCAGCCCACAGAAUCGCAAAAGAAAAAAAGAAGGAUAACCAAGAAAAAGUUUCAU